rnacentral:misc_RNA from 1 species
GAAGAAUCAAAUCAAGCCAAGAGAAGAUGCAAAGUCCUCGAUGCAGCCAGCUUAAUCAACUCCUUCGGCUUCUGCAGACGAAUGGGGUUACAGAAUAGUUCAGUUUGGAUGAGCAGGUUAUAUAAAUGGGAAAUGAUUCAAGUUUGUGGUGUCGUCUUCUCUAUUCUCUAAGUGGGUAUUAGGUUCGUCCACAGCAGAUAUGAUAAUAUAUAUACAUAUAUAUAAAUGAAAGAGCAGUGUUAGCUACUUCUGAAAUAAUGUUGUGGUACGUGGUCUAAAAAUGGACUUGUAGAAGAUAGGAAUUUAAUUACCAAGCACUUUGUAAUGCCCUUAUAUCACUAGACAUGUUGUUAGAAUCCUAAAAAAGCUAGCAUGCAAUAUCUCUUCUUUGCCGCAGACACAGUAAUGUUUUCACAUAUACUGUGAAAAAUAGAUUAAUUAAGCCUUCAACUUUCAUGUUAUAAUUAGAUGAGUUGUAAUUAUUAGUU